rnacentral:rRNA from 1 species
CAAUAGCGUAUAUUAAAGUUGUUGCAGUUAAAAAGCUCGUAGUUGGAUGUCGGCGUGUGGACGGUCUGGUCCGCCUCGAUGGUGAGUACUGGCCGACGCACGCUUCCUGCUGCAUUCUCGCCGCCGUGCUUAAUUGUGCGGCGGUCAGCGGUUCGCCGCGGAGGGGCAGCUCGUUUACUGUGAGCAAAUUAGAGUGUUCAAAGCAGGCGCACGCCUUGAAUACAUUAGCAUGGGAUAAUAGAAUAGGACUUCAGUUCUAUUUUGUUGGUUUCUAGGACCGAAGUAAUGAUUAAUAGGGACAGUUGGGGGCAUUCGUAUUUCGAUGUCAGAGGUGAAAUUCUUGGAUUUUCGAAAGACGAACUUCUGCGAAAGCAUUUGUCAAGGAUGUUUUCAUUAA